AAGUCGUAACAAGGUUUCCGUAGGUGAACCUGCGGAAGGAUCAUUAACACUUUUAUUAUUAUAUUUUACUAUAAUAUAAACCUUUUAAGCGAACAUUAAAAAAUAAUAGAAUAAUGAUAGUAAGCAAAGAAAGUUUACUUUUUUGUAAUAUUUCUUUGUUUUGUUAUUAUUAUUGUAUUAUAACAUAUUAAUAAACCAUUUUAUUAAACUCACACAAAAAAAAAUUAAAAAUUAAAAAAUUGGAAAGAAAAUAAAGACACAGUCUCUCUUUUCCUCCCUAUUUUUUGUUUUUUCUUUUUUUUUACUAUUACUGAAAAGUUGUAAAUACAACUCUUAACAAUGGAUAUCUCGGCUCUCGC
rnacentral:misc_RNA from 1 species